rnacentral:rRNA from 1 species
CCUACGGGAGGCAGCAGUGGGGAAUAUUGCACAAUGGGCGAAAGCCUGAUGCAGCCAUGCCGCGUGUGUGAAGAAGGCCUUCGGGUUGUAAAGCACUUUCAGUUGUGAGGAAAGGUGGGUAGUUAAUAGCUGCUCGCUGUGACGUUAGCAACAGAAGAAGCACCGGCUAACUCCGUGCCAGCAGCCGCGGUAAU